GCCAUGGUGGUGUAGUGGUUUGAGCAUUAGACUAUGACUCUGGAGAUCAGGGUUCAAUUCCCCACUUGGCC